CCUACGGGUGGCAGCAGUGAGGAAUAUUGGUCAAUGGGCGGAAGCCUGAACCAGCCAAGUAGCGUGCAGGAUGACGGCCCUACGGGUUGUAAACUGCUUUUAUACGGGAAUAACGCGCCUUACGUGUAGGGCUUUGCAUGUACCGUAUGAAUAAGGACCGGCUAAUUCCGUGCCAGCAGCCGCGGUAAUACGGAAGGUCCGGGCGUUAUCCGGAUGUAUUGGGUUUAAAGGGAGCGUAGGCCGCAUGUCAAGCGUGCUGUGAAAGGGCCGGGCUCAACCCGGGCCUUGCAGCGGGAACGGGCGUGCUUGAGUGCACGGAAGGCAGGCGGAAUUCGUUGUGUAGCGGUGAAAUGCGUAGAUAUGACGAAGAACCCCGAUUGCGAAGGCAGCUUGCUGCAGCGGAACUGACGCUGAUGCUCGAAAGCGCGGGUAUCGAACAGGAUUAGAUUCCCCUGUAGUC
rnacentral:rRNA from 1 species